rnacentral:lncRNA from 1 species
CAACGCUCCAAGUGGGAGCUGCAGGGUGAGGAGAUGCAGAGGAGUCACACAGGAGCCAAAUGCUUCAGGAAAGUCAGCAUUUACAGCCUGGAUAGGCAAAGGGCAGGCUGACUCAGCAUUAGAGGGGUUGUCCUCUUAAUACCCACAGUGGUGUCAAAAUGUUCUCCAACAGCAGGUCUCAGCAGUCAAGGUCCCUGCAGGGUCAGUCCUGCCCUCAGCAUCGUUAAAGUGGACAAGGAUAAACUUUUCCCACCCAGAACACAGGGAAGUUUGUGCUGUCUCAGUUGAAGGUAGCAUCUCCAACUCCUUUCAAGGGUUUUGGCUGGUAGCAGUAGUCUGCAAGUGAUGAAGCUCCAGUUUUUCAGGAUUGUGAAGGGAUUUCUGCUAACAGGCUGCCUGGUUGAGGUUGUUAGAGCAGGUGAGAGGAGCUGAAGCUUCCAUGGCCCUUCCUGGAUAAUGAGAAGUGACAGCCCCCCAGCACCUGAGCUGCUGCUCUGCAAAGGGAGG